rnacentral:hammerhead_ribozyme from 1 species
AUUCAGUUGACGAGUCACAAAUGGGACGAAACGCGCGUUCUGGAU